AACGAACGCUGGCGGCAUGCCUAACACAUGCAAGUCGAACGAGACCUUCGGGUCUAGUGGCGCACGGGUGCGUAACGCGUGGGAACCUGCCCUUAGGUUCGGAAUAACUCCCCGAAAGGGGUGCUAAUACCGGAUAAUGUCUUCGGACCAAAGAUUUAUCGCCUUUGGAUGGGCCCGCGUUGGAUUAGCUAGUUGGUAGGGUAAAAGCCUACCAAGGCGACGAUCCAUAGCUGGUCUGAGAGGAUGAUCAGCCACACUGGGACUGAGACACGGCCCAGACUCCUACGGGAGGCAGCAGUGGGGAAUAUUGGACAAUGGGCGAAAGCCUGAUCCAGCAAUGCCGCGGGAGUGAUGAAGGCCUUAGGGUUGUAAAGCUCUUUUACCCGGGAUGAUAAGGACAGUACCGGGAGAAUAAACUCCGGCUAACUCCGU
rnacentral:rRNA from 1 species